AGGGGGGGAGUCAGCUGAUUUUUGCGACGGCGAGAUCACGUGACCUUCCCUUCCCCAAAGUCAUUCAACAAAACGGUGCGUGAACGUCCUUUUUGCCCUUGUGUGUGAGUUCGCGAAACUUCAAUUUCUGCCUCCUUAAUUUCUUCUAUCAGAUUUUCGCACGAGAUUCAAGAUGACCACCUAUUUCAACUACCCUCCCGCUGAAUUGCAAGAGGAGCUUAAGAAAAUCGCGCAGGCCAUCGUAGCCCCUGGAAAGGGUAUCCUUGCCGCCGACGAAUCCACCUCUACCAUCGGCAAACGUUUCAAGGACAUCGGCGCCGAAAACAACGAGGAGAACAGACGUCAGUACCGUCAGUUGUUAUUCACAACAGACAAAGCUCUCGCUGAUAACAUCUCUGGUGUUAUCUUGUUCCACGAGUCUCUUUACCAGAAGGCUGAUGAUGGCACUCCAUUUCCCGUCCUAUUGAAACAGAAAGGAAUUAUUCCCGGAAUCAAGGUUGAUAAGGGUGUUGUCAACCUUUUCGGAUCCGAAGGAGAGACAACCACCCAAGGUUUGGAUGAUCUGGCUGAACGUUGCGCUCAGUACAAAAAGGACGGUGCUGACUUCGCAAAAUGGCGUUGUGUCUUGAAAAUUGGAAAGAACACACCCUCAUACCAAUCCAUCCUUGAAAAUGCCAAUGUCCUUGCCCGCUAUGCCUCCAUCUGUCAGGCCAACCGCAUCGUCCCUAUUGUCGAACCUGAGGUUCUUCCCGACGGUGAGCACGAUUUGGACCGUGCCCAGAAGGUUACAGAAACUGUUCUAGCUGCUGUUUACAAGGCACUCAAUGACCACCAUGUAUAUCUGGAAGGCACACUCCUGAAGCCAAACAUGGUGACCGCUGGUCAGUCAUGCCCAACCAAAUACACUCCAGCUGAUGUUGCAAAGGCCACAGUCACCGCCUUCCAACGCACAGUCCCUGUUGCCGUUCCAGGAGUUACCUUCUUAUCCGGAGGACAGUCUGAAGAAGAAGCCUCUGUCCACCUAGACGCUAUCAACAAAUACCCUGGCAAGAAACCAUGGACCCUCACCUUCAGUUACGGUCGUGCCCUUCAGGCUUCCGUGCUUCGUGCAUGGGGAGGCAAAGCGGAGAAUGUUAAGGCUGCCCAAGAUGAAUUACUGAAGAGAGCCAAGGCUAAUGGUCAAGCUUGUCUUGGCAAAUAUGUUGCGGGAAGUAUCCCGAGCCUUGCCGCAGCCAAAUCCAAUUUUGUUGCCAGUCAUGCGUAUUAAGAACCCUAGCUUGGUGUCUGUUCCUGAUUUUAAAUAUGCACCCCGUUUUUAUUGGUUAUGGCUAAUGGUGAUGCGGCACUCGGAAAAUAUGUUGCUGGAUCAGUCCAAGGACAAGCUGGCGAUGCAUCUCUGUUCAUCCAAAACCAUGCAUACUAAGCAAGUCUGGUGCUUCAAAAACGAAAUUCAAAAGUUACCAAGAACAUCUAGAAUCCGCAAUCUUUUUUCAAUCUAAUUUAUUUUUAAUAGUCCAACCCCUCCCCUUUCAGGAACAGUCAAGUUUUAAAAAUUUUAAAAUUUUGGUUUUGUUGUAAGUAUUAUUUUAUUCCAUUGCCAUCUUGACUCUAAAAUGUGAUCCAAUGUGUAAAUUCCGAACAAAUAUCUCAUAGAAUAAAGCGCUGACCGUACCGUGGCCUUUGUGAUGACUUGAUGUGACCUUGCUUCAACUUGGUCCAACUCGGCAAUUUUUAAAGAAUAGCUUACGCUUGAAUAUUCAGUCCAUGGGUGUUGAGAUUGGUGGCUCCAUCGAUCAAUAUUCUACUCUACACGUAUAUUACUAAGACCUAUUAUAAGGACCUAGUUUUAAAUCUCACCUAAUAUUGUAGUCAUAAUCAUAUAUAUUAAUCAGUGUGCUAUUCUUAACUUUAAAUUUUAAGACCAUCUGAACAUCACAAAGGCAGAAAUGUGAAGUUUAUUCUUGAGUUUUCAAAGUUGUACAUAAUUUUGAUAUUUUAUCUAUCUUAAACAUAUUGUUGAGUAAGUCUCUUAAUUUUAUCCUAUAUGUGUUUGUGUAUUUGUUGCUACAUGUUUAAUGUUUAUCUUCUAUUCUAUCUCAGUAUAUUUAUUCACAAACACUUCACAAAGGAUUAUGAAGUCAUCAAAAUGUCUCCCGAAGAUUCAGUGAUGACUAGAAUUUCCCCCAGAAAUAAUAAUGGAAGAUUAGAAAAGUGAAGUAAAAUGAACGGUUAACACCGACGAAAAUGUCUGUUGUCUUGUCAAAAGAACUUCAAAUAAAAGUCAUUUUACUGUGAA